CAGGUCUUGGCUUAGAUUUCAGUUUCUCAGGACUGAGUGGAUUUUUUUCAGAUAGUGUCUUACCUGAGCUGCACAGACAAGAGGUGUCACCAUCUUGACUCGCUAGCAAGAUCCUUUCUACAAAGUUCAAGGCUACAUCCCCAGCACAGAGCCUCUUGCUACAGUAAAGGUGAGUGGGUCCAUUGGAGAACUACCAAGCUGAUGGAGGUCUGGAGCACUUGUCUUGGGCUUGUUCAGUCUGAAGAAUGGCAGCUUGACGUAACAGAAGCCGCCUGUGCCUGCAGGGGGAUUAUGGUGAAGAUGGACUGCAGAGGUGCUCGGAGGAAAGGUGCAUAGACAACAGGCAGAAAUUGAAAUGAGAUGUGACUAAAUACAUGGAUUUUUUUUUUCUCUGUGGGAGCAGAAGAGCAGAGGAGCUGAUUUCUCAAACAGUUUGUGCAGUCUUCAUCAGUGGAGGUUUACAAUACCCAGCUGUGUAAAUGCUCCUGGACAGCCUUGACUCCACAGUGGGCAGGAAGUUGGACUACAGACCUGCUGUCUACCCUGAAUGAUCCUACAGUUCUGUACCAGCUGUAUACCACUGCUGAUCUUUCAGACUGUUCAUGCCAUAGUUUUCCUGUUUAAAUAAAAGUACGCUGAAUUAACUCUAGUUUUACAGAUCCUCUGAAGUCCAGACAUAUAUCUUACAUACAGUGGGAGAUGUAUUUUUCAUGCUGAUAAGUGCUUUCUAAAGAAUUCUUUUUAUUUUAAAAUGAAAGUAAGAAUUCUGUUUGUCAGCUGAUUUGUAUUUCCACAACAUCUGAAAACAGAGCAUGUUACUGUGAUUAAUAGAAAUAGGGUGGAUGUACUGAAACAACUGCAGGGCUUGUGUGAAAUGUGACCAAGUUAGAAUUAACAUAAGCUACAUCUAGUGUUUCAAUUCUCAUCUGAGGUCCUGCUUUAACUAUAAAUAAUGUACAACCCCUUUUACAUACUCCAAAUGCUAGUGUUCACUGUAAUUUUAGCUUUAUGUUUUCCUCUACAUGAUAGCUGCUCUACUGAAGUAUUUUAAGGUGUAAAAUGAUCAUCUAUUAAGUCUUUUGAUUGGUUUGUUUCUGGCACAGGAAAGCUGCAAAAAGUCUUGUUUCUCUAUUUAGCACAGACAGGUUGAAAUAUCUUUACAACAAUACCUACUAGACUGUUCCCAAAAGGAUGUUAUCAAAUUUUAAGGUCUGUAGUGGAAAAAAUCUAAUUUCCACGAUCAGUGUAAAACAAACAAGACCAAAACAAUAAAAACUCUUAUUUCA